ACCUGUGUCUAUUUGUCUCACCCUUUAAUUUGGAUUGUAUGUCCCAUUAGUUGUCGUAUAAAUACACAGCUUUCUUGCAUGAAAAUGAUUCACAAAUCAGAGCACCACUUUAAUUAUAUAUAUCCCAUGUACAAAUAGGUUAAACUCAGCUAGCUAGUGAAAGGUAGAUACUGUUAACCAAGAAAAGGGUCGAUCAAAUGGAGUGGAGUAGUAGCAACCCCAUUCCCUUUAUUCCUCGGAAUGCACAAAGUCCCUUUUCCUUUCUGUAUAACUAUAACACUGUCGACCCCUAUCAAAUGGAGUGGAGUAGUAGCAACCCUAUUCCCUUUGUUGGAAUUAUUAUCAGGAAAGGUCAAAUGGCUCAAUGCCUUGUUGGUGCAGAUCUACAUGGGGCACUUAUUCUAGUUGCACGAUGCAAAAUGGCUGGUUUCACUGGAGUGAGUGGGAUCAUGAUUCGUGAAACUGCAGAGACAUUUGGAAUAAUCACAAAGAAAAGCCAUUGGAAGGAUUUCAUAUAGUUGUGGAUGCUUGGAAUGGAGCUGGUGGUUUUUUUGCUAACUUUCUUAUGUAAACAUCAUCACCGAAGACCAGAUCUGAUACGAUGAUGGAACCGACAUUGGCCAUCGUGAAAUACCAUUCAUACAAACACCUUAUCUAACCUGAAAAUAGAUAAACACAUCAGAUAUGAUUAAAAUCAGGUGGUGUUUGACUAAAUAUCAGAGAAAAAUAGAAGAAUGUGAGUUGUAGAAAAGGGGAAUGUGGUCAAAAACAGAUUUGGUAAGGAUGAGACUGAGAUUUCUCAUACGAUGGAAAUACCAGAGAAAAAACAGUUGUUCUGGAACAAAAAACGGGUAUAUUAGCAUCUGAACAUGCACUAAAUACAUCAGACAUGACCAGAUCUGAGAAAUCAGUGCAUAUUUGGUUAGAUCCGAGAAUGGCGACUGGUGAUUUUUCUGGACAAUCUGAGGUGAGGAAGCUCGCCGGAAAACAAAAAGCUUUAUGAAAUCGCUCUAAAUUUCAGAUCUGAUUAGAUCUAUGCAAAUCUGACCAGGUCAACACAUAUCUUGUAUGAUAGAGGCUGGUGGCGGUCAUCAUCAGUGGUAAAAAGAGGUUGUGGUUAUGAGCGACGAUGGAGGAAGAGGUCAGAUCUGGAGGUGACGGUUGUCGUUGAUGGCAGAUCUGGAGGCUUCCGGUGAAAAUCCGACCAGAUCUGAAUAGAUAUGUUGAGUUGAUAACUCUGGGAAAUUUGUUUUUCGAGGAAGAUUUCAGUGUUCAAGAUUGGGUCAGGGCUUUAGAUUCAGGCGCAAGAAUAUUAGCUCCAACAGCAUACAUCUUCUUUGCCUCCACCCUUCCAGUCAUUGCCUUCGGUGAGCAACUGAAUAAAGAGACAGACAGAUGAUACGUUGAGUGCAGUGGAAACUCUCACCUCUACUGCUAUAUGUGGAAUUAUCCAUGCAAUAUUCGGUGGACAACCUCUUUUGAUUUUAGGCGUUGCUGAACCUAUUGUUAUAAUGUACAAUUAUCUCUAUAGUUUUUCUAAAGAAAGACCUGAAUUGGGGAGGCAACUGGUUCUAGCUUGGGCUGGAUGGUAUAGAACCUUCUAGAAAUGUCUCAAGUAUAAUUAUGAUGUGUAAUCUUAUUCUUUCCUAUCAAGCAUAUAUGAUAAUUAAUAUACAUAUUCUUCUUGGCUUUCGGGUUUGUGUCUGGACUGCUGUGAUGUUGUGUGUUCUUGUUAUACUCAAUGCUUGCACACUCAUCACAAGAUUCACAAGGGUUGCUGGUGAACUUUUGGCAUGUUGAUUUCAGUGCUCUUUAUGCAAGAGGCUAUUAAGGUAUAUUAUGCAGAUGCACUUCUUAAUGGUUUGACUUUCCUUUUGAGAGAUAAUUCAUUCAGUAUUUCAGUGUGAUCUUAUGUUGCUUGCAAUUAUUUUGGCAUUUGGUACCCUAUGCCGCAUUUACUUGAUCUUAUGGAUCUUGAUGGCGGUGACGAUAAUAAUGCCAUUGUCCCCGUUGAUCAGCCUGCACCAGGAUUUACAGGUAUUUCCAAAAUUACCUUUUUGGUUCUUCAAAUCCAAAUAAUUAGUGGUAUUGAGGUGCUUGUUAAUGUUCUUGGACAUAGAGUUGCAGUACCAAGCACUUCUAAGGGUUACUCAAGGAAAAUGCAAAUGGUAGCAAAUACUGGGCAUAUGGAGGUGACUUUGGAGAUACACCAAAUGACUUAAAUUUCUGCUUAAAUGGUCUCAUAUGGCCUGAUCGGACUCCUCAUCCUGCUCUAAAUGAGGUCAAGUAUUGCUAUCAUCUCACAUUUGAGUUUAUAGGAAUCAACAAUCACUGUGAAACUUCUAGUGUUUAGAUUUCUUACUGGUUGUGAACAUUUGGUUCGGACUAUUUUCCAAAAAUACCCCAUGGAUUGGAUCAUGUCUCUAGUAUGUUUAAACAGCAUGUUGCUGCUGAAGGCACAACCUUGGUUAAACAGGCAGAAGAUGCUGCAAGUAAUAAGAAGGCAGAAAAGAGAUUGCAGGUUGAUCCUGCUACAUGGCUAAUAAUGAUCUUUAGGGUCUGCUAGAAGGAUUGGAGAUUGCAGUUAAGCUUCUAUCUAAGACUUCACGCCAAGGACUUGAUGAAUUUAAGAUAUCAUAUUUUGGCAUGGCUAGAAGCUUUGUAGGAAACGAGACUCAAGCAAAAGUAAACACACAGAGAGUUGUUGACACAUAGUAAGCUAGAUAAUGCAAUUGUAUAUAAAUGAGUUCAUUUUUUAUAACAUUUACUCACUAUUGGAAUAAUUAUUUGUAUUUGACAUAUUAGUGAAAUGAAUUAUCUUUGUUA